ensembl:misc_RNA Metazoa_SRP Metazoan signal recognition particle RNA
GCCGGGCAUGGUGGCGCAUGCCUGUAAUCCCAGCACUCGGGAGGCUGAGGCAGGAGGAUCGCUGUGAGUUCGAGGCCAGCCUGGGCUACAUAGUGAGUUCAGGGCCAGCCUGAACUACAAAGGGAGAUCCUGCCUCAA